UUUAAGUGCAACCAUAAAUUUUCGUGCCUAACUUUGAUCGUCUGUCUUAUUUAAAAUUUUUUUAUAAUUAGUAUUUUUAUUGUUAUGAGAUGAUAAAACAUGAAUAGUACUUUACUCGUGACUUAUGUUUUUAAAUUUUUUCAAAAACUUUUGAAAUAAGACGGACAGUCAAAGUUGAACACGAAAAAAUCAUAGUUGCACUUGAA
rfam:Oryza glumipatula chromosome 9, whole genome shotgun sequence.